rnacentral:rRNA from 1 species
AUAUCAGUCAUGCAUAGCAUAUCAAUAAGCGGAGGAAAAGAAACUAACAAGGAUUCCCUUAGUAACGGCGAGUGAAGCGGGAAGAGCUCAAAUUUGAAAUCUUCAAGGUUCUACCUUGACGAAUUGUAGUUUAUAGAAGUGUUUUCUGUUAGUAGAGUGGCAGAAGUUCUUUGGAAUAGGACAUCAUAGAGGGUGAGAAUCCCGUAUUUGGUCAUUCUUCUAGCGUUGUGAUACACUUUCAACGAGUCGGAUUGUUUGGGAAUGCAGUCCAAAAUGGGUGGUAAAUUUCAUCUAAAGCUAAAUAUUGGCGAGAGACCGAUAGCGAACAAGUACCGUGAGGGAAAGAUGAAAAGAACUUUGAAAAGAGAGUUAAACAGUACGUGAAAUUGUCAAAAGGGAAGCGUUUGACACCAGUGUUGUUUUUCCGAAAAUCAAUUACGAAUGUUUUGUUUUUGAGGAGUUAUGACUUCAUCGGCUUGCUUCUCUCUUUACGAAACUUUCUUAAUGCACUUUUCGGUUAACAAGUCAACAUCAAUUUCUUUUGUUGUAAAAGGGUAUGAGGAAGGUGGCUUUCUUUUCGGAGAAAGUGUUUCAUAGCCUUGUACCUCUGCAAUCGGAGAGAUUGAGGUCUGCAGCGUAGAUCCUUCGGGGUUAGAUACAGUUUGUGCUAAGUUAUAGCUUUUCAUAGACAACUUGUUGACUAUGUUUAGUCUUGUAGCUUACUCGCUUAUGCUAUUUUACCUACGCUUAGGAUGUUGAUCUCUCACAGUCGAGC